rnacentral:rRNA from 1 species
GGAUGAACGCUAGCGGCAGGCUUAAUACAUGCAAGUCGAGGGGCAGCAGGGUGUAGCGAUACAUCGCUGGCGACCGGCAAACGGGUGCGGAACACGUACGCAACCUUCCUUCAAGUGAGGAAUAGCCCAGGGAAACUUGGAUUAAUACCUCGUAACAUUGUGAAGUGGCAUCACUUUAUAAUUAUAGCUCAGGCGCUUGAAGAUGGGCGUGCGACUGAUUAGGUAGUUGGCGGAGUAACAGCCCCACCAAGCCUGCGAUCAGUAACUGGUGUGAGAGCACGACCAGUCACACGGGCACUGAGACACGGGCCC